CAAAAUUUUGCCAAAAAAAUAUCAUAAAUGGAAAGGAGAAACCCCAGAAAUAUGAAAUAUGAGUAUGUUUUGCCUUCCUCUUGGUGGACAGAGACAGUUGAUUCCCAUUGUUUGCUCAUUCAUGUUCCAGGAUUCAAGAAGGAUGAAGUGAGGAUUCGAACAGACAGCCACGGCCAUGUCAUCGUGAGUGGAGAAAGGGAGGCCAACGACAACACCAUCCUACAUUUCGAGCAGGCAUAUAAAGUACCAGAAGUGCCAAAGAUCACCAUGAGUUCUCUGUAGUACGAGAAAGUAUUAGAAGAAAGCUCGAGG